AAACAGUUUUCAGCCACUUUGGAGGCCAUAGUUGCAAGGCCCAGAGGGGAGACCUCUCACCUUUCGCCAGACUCCGAUUACGGCGGAGUUAGCGGAGGCGCGGCCACCAGGUACGACACAUGGGGGCGCUGACGUAGCGUGUACGGAGGCGGCCGUAGAGGGGUGUGCGUGGCUGGGGCAGCAACGGCCGCUGAAGCAGACUAGGGUUUCUUUGUUUGCACUUUAGCCGGGCUAGGCUAAUUGGAUUUAGGUUAGGCUUGGGCUAGGGGUUUUGGGCUAAUUGGGGUUAAAUUUGGUUGGGCCACUUGGGCCUAUGUAUUUGGACUGUUUAUUAUUUUUGGGUUGGUUGGGUUUGGGUCACAUGGGCCCCAGGCAAAAAUGGGUCACUACAUCAUGGUUAAAGCAUUGAAUUAAUUAUCGACGCUAAAUCUAGUGACUCAUAAUAAAAAAAAAUAAUUAAAAGGCAAAUUUUAUUUAAAAGAAAAUAAAAAUAAAACAAGAAUAAAUGUUUGGUA